rnacentral:rRNA from 1 species
AUUGAACGCUGGCGGCAGGCCUAACACAUGCAAGGCGAGCGGAGCGGAGGACGGGCGAGUAAUUCCUAGGAAUUUGCCUGGUAGUGGGGGAUAACGUCCGCAAACGGGCGCUAAUACCGCAUCCUAUCAGAAGCACCUAGGUCGGAUUGGAUCGUUGGGGGGGUAAAGGCCUACCAAGGCGACGAUCCGUAACUGGUCUGAGAGGAUGAUCAGUCACACUGGAACUGAGACACGGUCCAGACUCCUACGGGAGGCAGCAGGGGGGAAUAUUGGACAAUGGGCGAAAGCCUGAUCCAGCCAUGCCGCGUGUGUGAAGAAGGUCUUCGGAUUGUAAAGCACUUUAAGUUGGGAGGCGUUACCAACAGAAUAAGCACCGGCUAACUUCGUGCCAGCCGCCGCGGUAAUUC